GACGAACGCUGGCGGCGUGCUUAACACAUGCAAGUCGAACGGAAAGGCCCAGCUUUUGUGGGGUGCUAGAGUGGCGAACGGGUGAGUAACACGUGAGUAACCUGCCCUUGACUUGGGGAUAACUUCAGAAAACUGGGGCUAAUACAGAAUAGGAGCUCCUGCAGAAGGGUGGGGGUUGGAAAGUUUCGGAGGUUGUGGGUGGACUCGGGGCUAAUUAGCUUGUGGGGGGAGUAGUGGCUUACCAAGCCUUUGACGGGUAGCCGGCCUGAGAGGGUGACCGGCCACAUUGGGACUGAGAUACGGCCCAGACUCCUACGUGAGGCAGCAGUGGGGAAUAUUGCACAAUGGGCGGAAGCCUGAUGCAGCAACGCCGCGUUCGUGAUGACGGCCUUCGUGUUGUAAACCGCUUUCGCCUGUUACGAUGCUUGAGUGACGUUAAUGGGUAAAGAAGCACCGGCUAACUACGUG
rnacentral:rRNA from 1 species